CCCUUAGAUGUUCUGGGCUGCACGCGCGCUACACUGAAGCGUUCAACGAGUAUUCACCUUGCCCGGGAGGGUUGGGUAAUCUUUUGAAAACGCUUCGUGAUGGGGAUAGAUUAUUGCAAUUAUUAAUCUUCAACGAGGAAUUCCUAGUAAGCGCGAGUCAUCAGCUUGCAUUGAUUACGUCCCUGCCCUUUGUACACACCGCCCGUCGCUCCUACCGAUUGAAUGGUCCGGUGAAGCGUUCGGACCGUGGCCUUUGGACGGUUCGCCGUCUGUUGGCUGCGGGAAGUUCGUUAAACCUUAUCAUUUAGAGGAAGGAGAANUCGUAACA
rnacentral:rRNA from 1 species